rnacentral:rRNA from 1 species
GACGAACGCUGGCGGCGUGCUUAACACAUGCAAGUCGAACGGAAAGGCCCUGCUUUUGUGGGGUGCUCGAGUGGCGAACGGGUGAGUAACACGUGAGUAACCUGCCCUUGACUUUGGGAUAACUUCAGGAAACUGGGGCUACUAUCGGAUAGGAGCUCCUGCUGCAUGGUGGGGGUUGGAAAGUUUCGGCGGUCGGGGAUGGACUCGCGGCUUAUCAGCUUGUUGGUGGGGUAGUGGCUUACCAAGGGUUUGACGGGUAGCCGGCCUGAGAGGGUGACCGGCCACAUGGGGACUAAGAGACGGCCCAGACUCCUACGGGAGGCAGCAGUGGGGAAUAUGGCACAAUGGGCGGAAGCCUGAUGCAGCAACGCCGCGGGCGGGAUGACGGCCUUCGGGGUGUAAACCGCUUUCGCCUGUGACGAAGCGUGAGUGACGGUAAUGAGUAAAGAAGCACCGGCUAACUACGUG